rnacentral:misc_RNA from 1 species
CUCCUAACAAGAAUCUUGAGCCACAAUCGAAAGGAGAGGCAGUGGCUCAGCAAGCCAAACGCUUCAUUAAAAUCUCUAACCUGCCAAAGCCUGAAAAAAGGAAGAGAGAAACAAGUAUAUUAAAGAUUUGUCAAAUACACCAGCUACCAGCUUAGCUGUGCCAGUUGACACACGCUUGGAAGUUUUGGCAGAUGAUGCACAAGUUGUGGAGACACCAGCCCACUCAGAAGGAACUGAUGGUCAAGAAGUUGACCUCAGUGAAGCAUGCAAUGUUUCAAUGCUGAAGCAAGAAGUCGCAUCCCUUUCAGCUCGUGUAGCUUUGCUGGAAUCACAGAAGCGUGACCUCGAAUUGGCCAAUCAAGAUUUAUCUGAACGAUUGGCUGACUUGGAACGAACCUCGG